UACGAAGGGAGCUAGCGUUGUUCGGAAUUACUGGGCGUAAAGCGCACGUAGGCGGAUUGGAAAGUUAGAGGUGAAAUCCCGGGGCUCAACCCCGGAACUGCCUUUAAAACUCCCAGUCUAGAGGAUAGGAGAGGUCAGUGGAAUACCGAGUGUAGAGGUGAAAUUCGUAGAUAUUCGGUGGAACACCAGUGGCGAAGGCGACUGACUGGACUAUUUCUGACGCUGAGGUGCGAAAGUGUGGGGAGCAAACAGG
rnacentral:rRNA from 1 species